rnacentral:rRNA from 1 species
ACGCUCGACACCUACGGGAAGCAGCAGUGGGGAAUAUUGCACAAUGGGGGAAACCCUGAUGCAGCGACGCCGCGUGAGUGAAGAAGUAUUUCGGUAUGUAAAGCUCUAUCAGCAGGGAAGAAAAUGACGGUACCUGACUAAGAAGCCCCGGCUAACUACGUGCCAGCAGCCGCGGUAAUCUGAGCGGGCUGGCAAGGC